rfam:Rattus norvegicus chromosome 7, whole genome shotgun sequence.
UGGCUCAGUGGUUAAGAGCACUGACUGUUCUUCCAGAGGACCUGGGUUCAAUUCCCAG